GAUGAAGAACGCAGCGAAAUGCGAUACUUGGUGUGAAUUGCAGAAUCCCGUGAACCAUCGAGUCUUUGAACGCAAGUUGCGCCCGAAGCCAUUAGGCCGAGGGCACGCCUGCCUGGGCGUCACACGUCGUUGCCCCCCCAUCUACUCCUUCGGGAUUGCGGGGGGCGGAUGAUGGCCUCCCGUGCGCCUCGCCGCGCGGUUGGCAUAAAUGCCAAGUCCUCGGCGACGCACGCCACGACAAUCGGUGGUUGCGAAACCUCGGUUGCCCGUCGUGUGCGGUCGUCGCGCAUCGAGGGCUCGAAAAAAUUGCCGGGUUCCGGCUCGGCUUUCAAUGCGACCCCAGGUCAGGCGGGGUUACCCGCUGAAUUUAAGCAUAUCAAUAAGCGGAGGA
rnacentral:misc_RNA from 1 species